rnacentral:rRNA from 1 species
CCUACGGGCGGCAGCAGUGAGGAAUAUUGGUCAAUGGGCGCGAGCCUGAACCAGCCAAGUAGCGUGAAGGAUGACUGCCCUACGGGUUGUACACUUCUUUUAUAAAGGAAUAAAGUGAGGCACGUGUGCCUUUUUGUAUGUACUUUAUGAAAAAGCAUCGGCUAACUCCGUGCCAGCAGCCGCGGUAAUACGGAGGAUGCGAGCGUUAUCCGGAUUUAUUGGGUUUAAAGGGUGCGUAGGCGGGCCUUCAGGCCGGCGGGAAAAUUGCGGGGCUCAACCCCGCCGAGCCGUCGGAACCGGGGGCCUUGAGUACAGGAGAAGUACGCGGAAUGCGUGGUGUAGCGGUGAAAUGCAUAGAUAUCACGCAGAACGCCGAUUGCGAAGGCAGCAUACCGGCGCUCAACUGACGCUGAGGCACGAAAGCGUGGGGAUCGAACAGGAUUAGAUACCCCAGUAGUC